CCUACGGGUGGCAGCAGUGAGGAAUAUUGGUCAAUGGACGGAAGUCUGAACCAGCCAUGCCGCGUGCAGGAAGACGGCUCUACGAGUUGUAAACUGCUUUUGUACAAGGGUAAACCUGAAUACGUGUAUUCAGCUGAAUGUACUUUACGAAUAAGGAUCGGCUAACUCCGUGCCAGCAGCCGCGGUAAUACGGAGGAUCCAAGCGUUAUCCGGAUUUAUUGGGUUUAAAGGGUGCGUAGGCGGAUUGUUAAGUUAGAGGGGAAAGGUCGGGGCUCAACUCGGGAAUGGCCUGUAAUACUGGUGGUCUAGAGAGGAGGUGAGGUAGGCGGAAUGUAUGGUGUAGCGGUGAAAUGCUUAGAGAUCAUACAGAACACCGAUUGCGAAGGCAGCUUACCAAUCUAUAACUGACGUUGAGGCACGAAAGCGUGGGGAGCAAACAGGAUUAGAUACCCGAGUAGUC
rnacentral:rRNA from 1 species